UACAAUACUUGCCCACCCAAGUAUUGAGAGAGUUCAAUUGUUAAUCAGGAUCACUCUGAAAUACUGUAGAAUUGAAGUUGAAUUUACUUCAAGAUAUCUGCACACGCUUCAAGAGACUGGUCCCUAAGCUGUUCAACAGAAUUCAUGCAUCAGAAUUGCUUGCUUAGUGGGGAGAGAAGCACAUGCAUGGAGUAGUAAAGUAGAGAAAAAAACAAGAAUGAAAAAAAAGGGGAAGAUUAGCUAGCUAGAAGAAGAACAAGUAGAGAAAAUGGAAUGAGAAGUUGCAAUAAUAAUUGCCACACAAAUAUAAGGAGAUUGAGAAAUAGAACAAUGAUGUCUCUUAAGGUAUAGGUUCUUCUACCCCACCACUUGUUGCUUUAUUCUUCUUAUCCCAUCAUGCUUAUCUUCCAAAGUUAGCACAAAAACUUUUUUCAAGAAUAUUUUUUAUUGUGGAAAGCUUUGUAGGACAGAGAAAAUCAAAAGAUAAAAAGCACACAAUUCCUAACCUAAGGUUAUAUAUAUAUACAUGAUGUUGAUAUAGUGAGUUAGAAAAAAUAAUGCAUACAUACGUUAUUUUGAUGUAUUAUUAAUUUCUUCUUUAGUAUAAUUUUUUUUAAUUUAUGUGUAACUUUUUUCA